rnacentral:rRNA from 1 species
GAUGAACGCUGGCGGCGUGCCUAAUACAUGCAAGUCGAGCGAAUGGAUUAAGAGCUUGCUCUUAUGAAGUUAGCGGCGGACGGGUGAGUAACACGUGGGUAACCUGCCCAUAAGACUGGGAUAACUCCGGGAAACCGGGGCUAAUACCGGAUAACAUUUUGAACCGCAUGGUUCGAAAUUGAAAGGCGGCUGCGGCUGUCACUUAUGGAUGGACCCGCGUCGCAUUAGCUAGUUGGUGAGGUAACGGCUCACCAAGGCAACGAUGCGUAGCCGACCUGAGAGGGUGAUCGGCCACACUGGGACUGAGACACGGCCCAGACUCCGACGGGAGGCAGCAGUAGGGAAUCUUCCGCAAUGGACGAAAGUCUGACGGAGCAACGCCGCGUGAAUGAUGAAGGCUUUCGGGUCGUAAAACUCUGUUGUUAGGGAAGAACAAGUGCUAGUUGAAUAAGCUGGCACCUUGACGGUACCUAACCAGAAAGCCACGGCUAACUACGUGCCAGCAGCCGCGGUAA